GAGAAGGAUUUAUUGUAUUUUGAUAAUUUGUAAUUGGUUAUUUUGCAGAAAUGGGUAAAAAAGUAAAAAAAAAGACGAUUAAUCGAUUUCUAUUUUUAGAGUCGUUUAGAGCACGAGUCGAGAAUCGACCGUUGAGUCGACACAUUCUUCACAUCCCUAGUACAGACCUAUGUAUUUUUCUUCCUCUUUAUUAAGGCACAAGCCGUAAAUAAAGGAAAUUUGUUCAGUGCAUUAAAAGGACAAACAUCUAGGCUAGUUCAUGUUAUAACAUUGCUAAAACAACAGAUGUAAUGGUGGCCCAAGAGUUUUGCACACCGUACAUGGCUUUUCUGCGGUUGCAGACUCCUUGCCAGUUUCCAAAAAGACCUUAUAUCAAGGUCCUACCUACUAAGUUCAGUAACUCAAUUCUUAUGGUGUUCACAGAUCACCCUGGAGGCUGUUUUGAUUGAUUGAUUCAUUCUUUUAAUGACCACACAGCCAGGCUGGUGGAAUUUGUUGUCAGCUUGGUACAGGUUCCAACUUACAAAACAUAUAACACAGAUAUACAUACAGAAAUACACACUACACAAUACAUAAGGGCCAUGCUUAAUCCUUAACGUUCCGAGUUCAGAAAGUUUAUUGCAGUUGGGAUGAAACUGUUUUUUAACCGGGUUGUUCUGGAGGCAAUUGUCCAGUAACGCCUCCCAGAGGGCAGUAGCUGGAAGGCAUAGUGUGCAGGGUGAGUGGGGUCAGAGAUGAUUUUCCGUGCUCUGCGUAGUUUCCGUUUGUGGUAGAGUGAAUCAAGGGAUGGAAGGGGUGUGCCAAUCAUUUUGGAUGCUCUAUUUAUGAUGCGUUGAAGUUUCUUCCGGGAGAGUGAGUCUAGACUGCCGAACCAGACUGUGAUGGAGAAGGUGAGGAUGCUUUCUACGAUGGCUGUGGAAGGAGAACAGAAGAUGGGACCUUACCCUGAACUUCUUGAGCUGACGGAGAUGGAAAAGUCUUUGCUGGGCUUUUUUGUAGAUGUGGUCUGCGUUUAUUUUCCAUUUGAGGUUAUUGCUGAUGUGGGUUCCAAGGAGUUUGAAUGUGUCAGUGAUGGAGAUGGAUUCACCUUUAAUGAGCACAGGAGUUUUGGGGGAUGGUUGGCGUCUUGGGUCGAUGAUGAGUUCGGUUGUUUUUGAUGAGUUGAGUAUGAGAUCAUGGUCUGUACACCAGGUCACUGCUUGGUUGAUCUGUGCACGGUAUUCUGUUUCUUGGUUGUUGGUGAUGAGUCCUAUGAUGGUUGAGUCGUCCGCGUACUUGUACAGGUUGACAGAGCUGUGGUGGGAUGUGAGCUUGUUUGUGUAAAGGGAGAAUAGCCAGGGUGAGAGAACACAGCCUUGGGGUGUGCCUGUACUGAGGAAGAGAGGGGAGGAUGUGGUAUUUUUGAUCUUCACCUUUUGUUGCCUGUCCCAGAGAAAGCUUUGAAUCCAGUGACAGAUGCAUGGGUCGAUGUUCAUGUCCAGUAAUGUAUUGAAUAGUUUGGCCGGGUUUAUUGUGUUGAAUGCAGAGCUGAAAUCCAUGAACAGGAUGCGGGCAUAUAUGUUGGCGGACUCCAGGUGGUUCAGAAUGUGAUGAGUUGCUAAGAUGACGGUGUCUUCAACUGACCUGUUGGCUCUGUAUGCAAAUUGAUAUGGGUCAAUGAGGGGGGUGGUGACAGAUUUCAUGUGAUUCAGUAUGAUGCGCUCAAAUUAUUUCAUAACUGCUGAUGUCAAGGCAAUGGGUCUGUAGUCAUUGAGGCAGGAGAUGGUCUUGGUUUUGGGAACUGGGAUGAUAAUGGAUUCUUUGAAGCAGUUGGGUACUGAGCUUUGGCAGAGGGAGGAGUUGAAGAUGUUGGUAAAAACCCCGGCCAGCUCCGCAGCACAGUGGUGGAGAACGGAGGGGCUAAUGUUAUCUGGGCCGGGGGCUUUAUUCCUCUUAAGUCCCUUGAAGGUGCUCCUUACCUCCUCCUCGUAGAUGGUGAAAGGGGGGGGGGGAGGGGGUCUGGGAGAGAUGGUGGUGGAACCGGUGCCUGCUCAAACCUCCCAUAGAAAGUGUUAAGUGAAUCAGGAAGCUGAUUGUCGCUGUCAGGUGUGGGGGUGGGUUUCUUUUUGUAGUUUGUCAUGUUUUGUAAUUUUUUCCAGAUAGAGCGGGUGUCACUAUUAGAGAUUUGUUCUUCUAAUUUAGUGGCAUAGUUGGAUUUGGCUCUUCUUAUUGCAGAUCUCAGUUUGUAUUUGGCAGCCAUAUAUUGUUCUUUAUUUCCUGUCAAAUGUACUGUAUUUUUCUCCUUUCUUAUUAUCUUAAUGUCCUGGUUAAACCACGGUUUAUUAUUAUUGUAGUGUUUGACUUUUUUGAGUGGAAUGCACAGGUCAACGCAGUAAUUGACGUAUGACGUCACUGCUUCGGUGACGUCGUUCAGGUCACCUGCGGCAUGGAAAAUAUCCCAGUCCGUGCACGCGAAACAACCCCGAAGUUGUUCAAUGGCUUCGGGGGACCAGCACCGGAGAAAGGUUGUUGGUGUUUUGGAGGAUUUAACUUUUUGCCUGUAUUUUGGAAUUAGCAGCAGCAUUGCGUGGUCGGACCUGCCCAGCGGAGCCCUAGGGAAAGCAUGGUAAGCCUCUCUGAUGGAGGUGUAGCAGUGGUCAAGCGUGUUGGUCCCUCUGCUGGGGCAAUUUACCUGCUGAUGGUAGCCGGGGAGCUCAGAUGAUAGGUUGGUCUGGUUAAAGUCCCCGAGGACGAUGACUGCUGGGUCCGGGUGUGAAUUUUCCACUGAGGAGACGUAGUUGGCUAACUCGGCUAUGGUGGUGUUAGCGUUAGCCUCAGGUGGAAUGUAAACACAGAUCAUAAUAAUUGAUACGAACUCCCGUGGGAGGAAUGAUGGUCUGCAUUUGACAGUGAGGUAUUCCAGGUGAGGGGAACAUACAUGUGUGAGUUCAGUAGAAUUUGUGCACCAGCGUUCAUUUAUCAUGAUGCAAACACCAACGCCUUUUGCCUUGCCUGAUAGUUUGGAAGAUCUAUCGGAACGAUGUAAUGUGAAACCUGGAAGAGUUACCGCUUGGUCUGGUACUGAUUGUUCCAGCCAGGUCUCUGUCAGGCAGAUGGCAGAGCAGUCACUGUAGUCUUUGUCGGUUUGGAUCAUAAGUUGUAAUUCGUCCAUUUUGUGCCGGAGGGAUCUUACGUUUGACAGCAGAAGGGCUGGGAGCGGUGGCCGGUAAGGGCGUCUCCUGAACCUGGCAAAGGUGCCGGAGCGGCGGCUCUUUUGGGCCGGCUGCCAUGGUGUUGAGUGGCUUGCGCUGUAGAUGUUUAAUUCCAGUAAUUUCUUCUCCAGCAAGGAUGUAGAUGGGCCCAGAUCACUGUGAGAGGUGGAUCUGAGGUUUAGAAGCUCCGAUCGGGUGUACUGGAUUAUGCACGACACUUUACAAACAAAUAACGCAGACGCUAAAAUGACAGACAGGAACACUGCUUGUACUGUGGCAAGCCUCACGGCCGCCAUCUUCCUAUGCCUCAACUCCUCUCAAGAGAGAGAGAGAGAGAGGACAACUUGGUCUCUCAGAGCACAGCUGUAGCUGUGCUGCGGGCAAAUGCUUCUGUAGCCAUGUAACCGCUCUGCUCUUCCAGACAGCGCAUUAUGUGCAGCUGGGCCUUGACGUGGUUCCACCUUCCCUGAUCUGUACCAGUCAACCACAGAUGUGGCAUCGACCUAGAACACAGGGAAUCCAUCCAGAGGCUGUGAGUGACCUUGUGGUGAAAAAACCCAAGUCGGUUGGGAAGAGUCAAGUCCACACUCUACAGAGCGUAUGCUGGGCCCCUACCAGAACAACACAUCUUGGCGUCUGGAGCAAAGCUGAGUGAGAUUCCCCCUCGCCCCCUGUGAUGUCCCACAUCCUAGAGGGAAUAUCCAGCUUGGAGUUAGUACCAUCUCAGCUGUGCUGACCUGGAAGUUGUCAGCAAUGACCUGUUCUUUAAGGCCAGUUGCUACUCUACAACAGUAGAUGAAAAACUCAUCAAUGACUGGAAUCUUCCUUGAAGGGCUUGGUGUUGGAAUCGCCUCUUGUCCAAUCCUAUGUGCUUUGCUCCAUUAAACAAUAUAUUGUGUUGAGGGGCAAACAGACUCCCAAAACACUUGAAACACUUCUUGAGAUGGAAACCGAGUGUAAUAUUUCAUGGUCUGAUCAGACACACGAAAUCUGUUGAGGACAGUUUGUGGCCCCAUGGAUAUUUCUUGCAGCUUUGCCUCCAGCUCAGCAAUAUACUCCAGGACAUCAUCCAGUGCACCUACAAAAAAAGAAGACAAAUCAGUCUUCAUUACCAUUCAUUAGUAUUCACUAAGGUUAUUUUGCCAGGUUAUUUUUAUUGUAUUGUUAUUCUGUAUACUUAACAGUUUAUUUAUAUUUAUUAUUAUUUAUUUAUUUGUACUGUUUUUUGUUUUUCUUUUUUUAUACAUUAACAAUAGGUUAAAUGUUGAGUGUUGUACAUUGAGGGCAAAAACCAAAGUCAAAUUCCUCGUUUCUUCGCAAACCUGGCCAAUAAAGCUGAAUCUGAAUCUGA